AGGUUAUUUUCAGUGCGUGGAAAAAUAUAUGAGCUUCUCGUUAACUGUAUCCCUCCUGAAAUCAUUUUGAAGAAGUUGCUGUCAGAAUUAUUGAAGAAAUUGGACUCAGAAUUUAAGCAUGAAGUUUGUCAUUGGGCUGCAUAUUAUGGCUUAAGCUCAUAUGCGUAAUAUAAAUGAAGAAAAUUAUAAAGAAGCUCUUGAAGCCUCAUUUAAGGUGUCAAUAUCUCGAGGAAUCAGAAGUUUUUGUGUGAAACAUUUAUAAUUUUAUUUAUCGAAUGAAUUAUGUAAGUUGUAGCUUUAUGGUUCAGUUCUCCUCACCAUGGUGUGGAUGAUAUAUCUGGUCGAGCUAUAAAAUGUC